CUACGGGUUGCUGCAGUGGGGAAUAUUGCACAAUGGAGGAAACUCUGAUGCAGCAACGCCGCGUGGAGGAUGACACUUUUCGGAGCGUAAACUCCUUUUAUAUAGGAAGAAGAUGACGGUACUAUAUGAAUAAGCGCCGGCUAACUCCGUGCCAGCAGCCGCGGUAAUACGGAGGGCGCAAGCGUUACUCGGAAUCACUGGGCGUAAAGAGCGUGUAGGCGGAUUAAAAAGUCAGAAGUGAAAUCCUAUAGCUUAACUAUAGAACUGCUUCUGAAACUCUUAAUCUAGAAGAUGGGAGAGGUAGAUGGAAUUUCUGGUGUAGGGGUAAAAUCCGUAGAGAUCAGAAGGAAUACCGAUUGCGAAGGCGAUCUACUAGAACAUUAUUGACGCUGAGACGCGAAAGCGUGGGGAGCAAACAGGAUUAGAUACCCCGGUAGUC
rnacentral:rRNA from 1 species